rnacentral:lncRNA from 1 species
UCUGAAUGGGAGAAAACUGGGUUGAGAACACAAUGGCAUCUGGCUGGCCCACAAGGCUUACAGUUCCACACGUUUGGAGCGUUUGGUGCUUGGAGAAGCAGCAUCCACUGGGAAGGAAGGAAAGGAAAGACCUUGAGGAAAGUACAAAGUCUACCCACACGAGCAUUUCCUAAUGAGCGUUCUGCAGAAAACAAGUUCCACAAAGCAUUGGUAGGUGUUAUUCGCGGGGUGCACUUCGAAUUUGCAAUCACCAUGAGGCUCCAGGGUGAGGAAUGUCUUCUGACUCUACUUCUGCAAACUUCAUUCGAUGCGCCUGUGAGAGAAAACGAGGGAUCCCAGUGUCUGAAGGAAAAAAUGGUUCUGUAAUCUAUGAAGUCAAAUCACAGUUGAUAGCAGAAAGUGACACGAAACGGGAACUAGGAAAAAUUAAGUUGCAAGGUAUAGAUUUCGUCCGACUAAAUUAGAGCAAUGUCUUCUCGAGCUUCAAAGAGAGAGGCCUCUCUCCUUGCGCGUGCAAAUAUCAAUUUGGGAGCUGAGGAAGGUAAUUUUCACAUGCAAAUGCGUGUAAGUUGAAAUGAGCAGAGGCAAUGAACAGACUGUUAAAGACACGCAGGCUUCCUUGUCUUCCGGUACAAAGGAGCAAAGGGCUGGAGAGAAGCAGUGACUUCUUGAAGGAGGAGAGGUACGUACCUA